GAAGAGGAGGGGGCCUAGAACUGAGCCCUGUGGGACACCACACAAGAGAGGAGCGGAGGACAACACAUAGUCACCGAGACUGACACAAAAAGGUCCUUGAUGAGCUGCGGAGAAUUAUUCAACCAUCCAACUGGAAAUGCAUUCUGAGAUGAAGGAUAGAUGGGAAAUCUUCUACUCGAAGGUGCAGUUUUAUGGUGUUAUGAAGAAAGUUAUGAAGCCGCUAAAAACUUUGGAUGGAGUGGAAUAUGCAGCAGCUGUGUUCAGAGCCCUUCCCAUGCUUUUCCCUUCCAGCACAGUACCACCUAAGAAGCUGGGCAUCUGUAGUGAGGCUUUUUUCC